ensembl:lncRNA
GGACUGAAGACCAAAGUGGGAAAAUGACCACUUGCCUCUGACCUGGUGGAUGUGAGGCAGAGGGCCCACAGGUCAUAUAGGGCAUUAUCACAUAUCCAGAUAUGUCUCUGAAAAUACCCUUCCAGCUCCCACAGGAAGCUGAUGUGUCAGGAGCCCACAUCAAGGACUCACUCUCAUGGUCCCCUUCUAAUGCUCUCCUCCUGGACUGUUACAUCUUCAUCUAGUCUGGGUUGGCGUGAGGUAUGUUUUAUGCUUGUGUUCAGGUUAAAAACUGGAUUAGCUCAUGUCCCAAAGCCUCUUUCUCCUAAAGCUGCUGUCUCAGUCAUGGGCUGUGGGUGUCCAAUUUCACAUGAAAAACUGACAAGAGUCAUUUUUUAAUUACUGCAGGAUGCAUUCAGCUCUGAGUGGGGCAUCUGGAAGAAGAGGAGUGUGGUGGGACAGGACAAAACUCAGUAGCAAAUACUUGUAAAUGCUGUCCCAUUACUAAGCAGUAAAUUUGGGAAAAUAAACAGUAUAUUUAUCUAACUUAAAUAUUAUCAUUGUUGGUCUACCAUAGUCAGUCCUCCUUUCAGUAUAGGACAAUUUAAGUAUUUGAAAGUCAAUCAGCCAUAGCUGACAUGAUUUAGAUUCUUCAGCCACUCAAAGUAAGUUACUGUCACUCCUCCAGCAUUCAAGUACAGAUCUGGGAUAUUCAUGAUAUUACUCUCCAGGAAAAUCUUAUCAGCUUCCAGAGUAGUGGGUCCAUUGGAACCUUCUGUGAUGAUCUUGGCUUUGACUCUGGGUGUGUUGGAUUUGGUCAACUGCUUCUCACUGACAGCAGGGAUUAGGAUGUUGAAGUCAGCUUCCAAGAUGCUUUGUUUUAUAUUUUUGCCUUAGGGAAGCCCAGAACUGAUCUAUGUUGCAAGUUGAAAUCUUCCAGUUAUUUUGGGUCAAUACUGCCACGGCCUUGGUUGGCUGAAGGGUCCAGGAGUGAGAAAUGAUGAUGAUGGGAGAUUAAGAAAAGGUAAAGAGAGAAAGUUAAAAGAACAAAGAGAAACAAAGGUGGGGCCAGGCGGGGCUCUAAAGAACCCAGGCAAAUGCAAGGGAGUUUAUUUAUAGUGGUAGAGAUAAGGGAAGUAUAGGGGGAGGUAAAAUGGGCUGGUCUGUAACUGGAGCCAGGAGAGUAGCUAAGGUCUGUAGGAUAUCCUGCUUGAUGGUUUUCUGAUGAAUGGUGGUGGGGGGCAGUCCUCUUCUCAGCCAGGCCUUCCUCCAUCAUAGCCCCCCUUUUUUUUUUGUACCAGGAAUUGAACUCAGGUCCUUGCACUUGUGAGACAGGUGGCAGAACCACUGAGCUAAAUCCCUGGCCCUAUCAUGCCCUCUUGUUGCCUGUUCUCCUCCAGCGUGGAGCCCUGCGUGGGAGGAAGUGAACAAGACGCAUGUUUCUCCUUCCAUGCAGGGCCCUGACUCAUCUGUGGGAGGAGGUGAGUUAGGCCUGGCUGUAGUGAUCCACAGCACAGUGCUCCCAGCACAGUACCAUCUGGAAUAUAUAUAUGUAUACACACACACACACACACACACACACAUACACACACAUCAGACUCCCCAGCACCAACACAUAUAUCACCAAAAUGAUAUAAAUAGCUCUAGGGUGCAGGCCCACAUUAACAAAGCUCUGAAAAACAAAUGUUUUGUCUCCAAAGCCUGGUGUCAUUCCUAAAAUGCUCAUGUAGGAAGCUUCACUGAUGAAGUUCUCAAUCUUAUGGAAAAAUCGUGGCCAGUCGCAGAGAUCUGCCUGUGAUUCUCCCUUGACUGAUGGGCUUCCAGAAGGCUCUCCUGGGAGGCCUCCUGUUCCUGGUCACAUUUGUGAUGUCAUGCAGUGCCCACUGCUUCUACCAUACCCAUGGUGAGAGGUGAAGGUGACUCCUC